GCCCGCUCAGAAACUUAAAGAAUUGACGGGGGCCCGCACAAGCGGUGGAGCAUGUGGUUUAAUUCGAUGCAACGCGAAGAACCUUACCUAGGCUUGACAUGCAGGGGACAGGUGUAGAAAUACAUCCUUCCUUCCGGGACCCUUGCACAGGUGCUGCAUGGCUGUCGUCAGCUCGUGUCGUGAAAUGUUGGGUUAAGUCCCGCAACGAGCGCCAACCCCUGUCUUUAGUUGCCAUCAGGUUAUGCGUGGGGACUCUAGAGAGACUGCCGGUGACAAACCGGAGGAAGGUGGGGAUGACGUCAAGUCAUCAUGGCCCUUACGCCUAGGGCUACACACGUGCUACAAUGGUCGGUACAAAGGGCAGCAAUACCGUGAGGUGGAGCGAAUCCCAAAAAGCCGGCCUCAGUUCGGAUCGAAGUCUGCAACUCGACUUCGUGAAGUUGGAAUCGCUAGUAAUCGCGUAUCAGAACGACGCGGUGAAUACGUUCCCGGGCCUU
rnacentral:rRNA from 1 species